rnacentral:rRNA from 1 species
CCUACGGGUGGCAGCAGUGGGGAAUAUUGGACAAUGGGCGAAAGCCUGAUCCAGCCAUGCCGCGUGUGUGAAGAAGGCCUUCGGGUUGUAAAGCACUUUCAGUGGGGAAGAAAGCCUUGGGGCUAAUACCCUCGAGGAAGGACAUCACCCACAGAAGAAGCACCGGCUAACUCCGUGCCAGCAGCCGCGGUAAUACGGAGGGUGCGAGCGUUAAUCGGAAUUACUGGGCGUAAAGCGCGCGUAGGCGGUCUGAUAAGCCGGUUGUGAAAGCCCCGGGCUCAACCUGGGAACGGCAUCCGGAACUGUCAGGCUAGAGUGCAGGCGAGGAAGGUAGAAUUCACGGUGUAGCGGUGAAAUGCGUAGAGAUCGGGAGGAAUACCAGUGGCGAAGGCGGCCUUCUGGACUGACACUGACGCUGAGGUGCGAAAGCGUGGGUAGCAAACAGGAUUAGAUACCCGAGUAGUC